ensembl:lncRNA
GCAACGGCGCUUUCCAUUUUAACCCCCUCCCUCUUCCCCGCUGGCUCAGACCGUAAAGAAUCCGCCUGCAAUGCGGGAGACCUGGGUUCGAUCCCUGGGUUGGGAAAAUCCCCUAGAGUAGAGCAUGGCAACUCACUCCAGUAUUCUUGCCUGGAGAAUCCCCAUGGACAGAGGAGCCUGGAGGGAACCCCAUCAACAGCCCCCCACCACAAUCUGCAGAAACCCUGAGCCCCAGAUCUCUGCUCAGUGAGCUAGUGCGUCCCUCAGCCUAGGUCCCAUCAGCAUUCCGCUAGCACGGGAAGGAUGCUUUCUGAGGACCUACCCUGCUGCAUCCCCAAAGCAGAGUGAAUCUUCACAGGCCUUUGUUUCUAGCUGUUAGGACUCCCACCAUCAGAGGAUUUUUGUGUGAGAGAAAAGGAUUUAUUAUUGGACAUAAAUCACUUCUCCAAAGUCAUGGGACCUCCUCGAGCCCGUUUGCUUCGGGGACAGAUUUCUGACACAGGCUCAGAAAGGAACUUCAAUUUCCUGUGAACAUUUCAGAAACUUCUUCCCACUACUGUUGGAGAGGAAAUGCGAACACCAUCUAAUGUGAAAACCACGACAUGGCCCGUUAACAGAAGUACUAGACCACGUGGAGACCACGGAAAUGUCAGUGACUAGAGUGGUCAGUGACUACACAAAAGGCCUGAAAAGUGGUCGGUAACUGUGGUGUCCUUCAGAGAAUAGUGGUGGGAGGAGGGGGUUGAAAGCCAUGAGUACCGUCUGAGACUAAAAACCUGGUCACCUGGCAGACAGGAGAGAACCUACAGGGGAGGGAAAAACUGACGGCACAAGAUCCCAAAGGAGACCAGAAUUGUGUGGGUUAGAUCAGAGCACAUGAAACAGAGCUACCUUUGGAGACCACUGGGGGUGGUUCCCACCCCACAGGAACUGAUUGCCUCUGCACCUGAAACAAAUACUCCUGUCCAACAGGCAUGGAGCUCCAUGGAGACAAGGACUGCGUACUCAUCUGUGGGGUAGAGGUGCUGGCCAAGGUCAUCACUUCUGGCAAUUUAGGGCCCAGGCUCAAGGAACCACACUGCCCACCUUGGACCCUGGGAUACCUAGCACCCCAGUUUAUUCUUGCCUCCUCACAGAGCUGUUGUAGGGCUGGGAGAGUUUUCCAAAGGGAAACCCAGCCCCAUUUCAUGUAGAAAGACCCACAUGUUUUUGGUUCUUUGGCACUGAAUGCUUUAGUACUUUAAGAAUUCGGUCUCUGAUGGGAGGCCUGGGUUCAAAUUCUGGCUAGGUGUGGAAGCAGAGAAUCAGAUCCUGGUUCACUCUGCGCCUAGCAGAUUGCCUAUAGGAGCAUCUGAGAGGGGGUUCAUCAUGGGUCUGGCACAUCUGAGACCAUAGAGUGAAGCAGGCAAAGCCGGGCUGAGAUUGUGACCAAUUCUGGACUUGAUGGAAAACUGAAGCCCUUUCUUCGGGGGCCUCUCUAGCCCCUUGCAUCCUUCUGAAGCUAUGUGACCAUGGGCCAAAUCUCAAUCUUUUGGGGCCAUUGUCCUCACAUGAAAAAUAUGUAUAACACCUUUGCCACAAGAAGCAGAUGGUGAUUAAACAAUGUACCUAAAGUACCCU